rnacentral:ncRNA from 1 species
AAAAAAGCAAUGAACAAGAGAAGUAGUUUUGUUACAUGGUUAUCCAGAGAAAAGAGCAGAUGCUGAGAGUUCUUGACCAAAAUAAAAUGAAAGUAGCUUGGGAGCUAACAAGGUGAAUGUACAGUAACUUUGUUCGGAAUGACGUUUCGUUAAAAACGUGAAGAGAGGUAUAUUUCUUGUGGAGAUAUACAAAAUAGGUGGUACCGCGAAUUAAAAAGCAUUCGUCCUAAUA